rnacentral:tRNA from 1 species
GGCACGGUAGGCAGCGGACAUUCCUGCCGCGACUGAAAAUCGCGGUGUCGGCAGUUCGAUUCUGCCCCUCGCCA